GAGUUUGAUCAUGGCUCAGGAUGAACGCUAGCGGCAGGCUUAACACAUGCAAGUCGAGGGGUAGUAUAGCAAUAUAUGAGACCGGCGCACGGGUGCGUAACGCGUAUGCAAUCUACCUUUUACAGGGGAAUAGCCCAGAGAAAUUUGGAUUAAUGCCCCAUGGUAUAAUUGAUUGGCAUCAAUUAAUUAUUAAAGUUCCAACGGUAAAAGAUGAGCAUGCGUCCCAUUAGCUAGUUGGUAUGGUAACGGCAUACCAAGGCGAUGAUGGGUAGGGGUCCUGAGAGGGAGAUCCCCCACACUGGUACUGAGACACGGACCAGACUCCUACGGGAGGCA
rnacentral:rRNA from 1 species